rnacentral:rRNA from 1 species
UGGGGAAUAUUGCACAAUGGGGGAAAGCCCUGAUGCAGCGACGCCGCGUGAGGGAAGACGGUUUUCGGAUUGUAAACCUCUGUCUUGUGGGACGAUAGUGACGGUACCACAGGAGGAAGCCAUGGCUAACUACGUGCCAGCAGCCGCGGUAAUACGUAGAUGGCGAGCGUUGUCCGGAAUUACUGGGUGUAAAGGGAGUGUAGGCGGGCUGGUAAGUUGAAUGUGAAACCUUCGGGGCUCAACCCGGAGCGUGCGUUCAAAACUGCUGGUCUUGAGUGAAGUAGAGGCAGGCGGAAUUCCCGGUGUAGCGGUGGAAUGCGUAGAUAUCGGGAGGAACACCAGUGGCGAAGGCGGCCUGCUGGGCUUUUACUGACGCUGAGGCUCGAAAGCAUGGGUAGCAAACAGGAUUAGAUACCC